CUAAGUACGUUAGUUUUGGGUCGGACCGGACCGGCGACGUACGGUGGUAACGCGUAUGCAACCUACCUACUACUUUGGCAUAGCUCGUUGAAAGACGAAUUAAUACCUCAUAAAACAGGGGCUCCGCAUGGAGAUAUUUGUUAAAGAUUUAUCGGUAGUAGAUGGGCAUGCGUUCCAUUAGUUAGUUGGCGAGGUAACGGCUCACCAAGACAACGAUGGAUAGGGGAACUGAGAGGUUUAUCCCCCGCACUGGAACUGAGACACGGUCCAGACUCCUACGGGAGGCAGCAGUGAGGAAUAUUGGUCAAUGGAGGCAACUCUGAACCAGCCAAGUCGCGUGAAGGAUGACGGCCCUACGGGUUGUAAACUUCUUUUUUAAGGGAAUAAAGUGAGCCACGUGUGGCUUUUUGCAUGUACCUUACGAAUAAGGAUCGGCUAACUCCGUG
rnacentral:rRNA from 1 species